ACUCUUUCUCUCUCUCUCUUUGUGUUCUCUAUUUUCCUCAAUUUCCCAGAUCUGUGUUAAACUAAACGUCGAACAUUUUUUUGGCGAGAAACUUGAAGGUUUAAUAAUUUGUACAAAUGGUUGGGUUUUAUGGAAUCUUAGGUUUGAUGUUGCCCAGAUGUGUAAAAUACUAUGGAACCGAUUGACACAAGAUAAGAAGAAUAAGAUGACGUUUUACAUUCGUCUCGAAUCUUCCAAGUAUAUGUACGAUGAAAACUUAAUCCACGUGUACACAUUUUCAAAGUCUACAUGUACACCAGAUCACAAAGCUUCACUAUCGUAUCCACAUGUACACCGGCUGGCAAGAUCUAUGUGUACACCACAAUUAUCACUUGCGUUAAUUGCUUAUUUUUAUUGAUUCCUGAGUGAUUGAGUUUUGUUGAAUUUGCAGAUAAUGCCUCGGAAAGCCUUUGUCACCACGAGUGCUUAUGUGAUUAGCUAAAUCCAUAGGUAAAGUUUUCGUUUUAGUUUAUGUUUAUGGUGUGAUUGGUUGAUUGUGAUCUGAAAGCUUUCUUGUGUGGAUCCUAGAGCUGCUUUGAUGCUGAUAUUGUGCUCGAAGCUAAUUUGUUUCCAGUGAUGUAGGGUUAUAUAGGUUCUGUUCGAAAAAGAAAAAAGAGAAUCUAUGGACUACAAAAGAGGAGGAUGUGCCGAUGAAGAUAAUGAGAUUCUCUUUAUGGUAGCAGUUUCUUCUAUGUUAACUACAAAAGGAGACCAAAGAUGCAAAAAUGGGUAGACACUUGCAUCGCAUCUUGGGGUUACUAGAGGAGGCAAAAUCAGUUUCUUUAUAUUGUAAUCUGCUACCGGAACUAUUGAACAUUCAUGUUCGUUUCCUUUUCUAGUAUCGGAGAAAUUAUGAUGCUUUUAGAGGUUUUUUUUUUGUUCACUAAACAAGUUUUAUUAA